rnacentral:lncRNA from 1 species
ACGACCGGUUUUCUUGCAGAGGAAGUAGCCUCUAUUACAAACUCCAAAAGCCUUUUUAAAUGGCAAACACAAUACAAGUUUGAAAUUAACUGCAUUGCAGCAACGUUGUCCUGCAACAGGAUGAUCAAAUUAAUAUCCUACAUGUACAGAGAUUGUCCUCUAUCUAAACCAAGGCAGUUUGAGUUAUUAGCAAUGAAGUUGCAACUGUCAGCUGCUUGUAAACCUAUGUGAUCGGAUGUUAAAGACGCCCAUCUAAACAGUUUCUUUCUCCAUGCUGUGGCCCUCACUAACCUGACAUCUGGCCAAUAGAGACUAAAGUACUAUGCACUCUAUGCUGCACACUGCACCAAGCCAUCUCUGUGGGGGAAGGUAUUGGGAAGGUAGAAAGAUAACAGUGAAUAUGAGACAUGGAGGAAGGUAGAAAGAUAACAGUGAAUAUGAGAUAUGGAUGAAGGUAGAAAUAUAACAGUGAAUUUGAGACAUGGAUGAAGGUAGAAAUAUAACAGUGAAUAUGAGGCAUGGAGGAAGGUAUUAGGAAGGUAGAAAGAUAACAGUGAAUAUGAGACAUGGAUGAAGGUAGAAAGAUAACAGUGAAUAUGAGACAUGGAGGAAGGUAGAAAGAUAACAGUGAAUAUGAGACAUGGGGGAAGGUAGAUAGAUAACAGUGAAUAUGAGACAUGGGGGAAGGUAGAUAGAUAACAGUGAAUAUGAGACAUGGGGGAA